AACGAACGUUAGCGGCGCGCCUAACACAUGCAAGUCGAGCGAGAAAGGGCUUCGGCCCCGGUAAAGCGGCGCACGGGUGAGUAACACGUGGAUAACCUACCCCUUGGUGGUGGAUAACCUUCCGAAAGGAGGCUAAUACAGCGUAAGACCACGACUUCGAAAGAGGUUGAGGUAAAAGUGGGCCUCUGUACACAAGCUCACGCCAGGGGAUGGGUCCGCGGCCCAUCAGCUAGUUGGUAGGGUAACGGCCUACCAAGGCGAAGACGGGUAGCUGGUCUGAGAGGAUGAUCAGCCACACUGGAACUGAGACACGGUCCAGACUCCUACGGGAGGCAGCAGUGGGAAUCUUGCGCAAUGGACGAAAGUCUGACGCAGCGACGCCGCGUGAGUGAUGAAGGCC
rnacentral:rRNA from 1 species